rnacentral:rRNA from 1 species
UACGGAGGGUGCGAGCGUUGUCCGGAAUCACUGGGCGUAAAGGGCGCGUAGGCGGCGCGGGAAGUCAUCGGUGAAAGUUCAGGGCUCAACUCUGAAUCGGCCGGUGUUACUCUCGUGCUCGAGCACUGUAGAGGCAGGUGGAAUUCCGGGUGUAGCGGUGAAAUGCGCAGAUAUCAGGAGGAACACCAAUUGCGAAGGCAGCUCGCUGGGACGUUACUGACGCUGAGACGCGAAAGCGUGGGGAGCAAACAGG